GCCAUAGUCCUAUAAAAGGGUUAAUGUUUCGGCCAUUAAUUUUGUAGAGUUUCUACCUUUGGUU
rnacentral:tRNA from 1 species